GGGGCUCACUCUCUUGGCAGUCUUGACUACUUGACAUCCUUGUGAACCUAAGAAAAUAUCUCCCACUCAUCUCCAUCAUAGAUUAACCUUCUUUGUGAGAUUGGGAAUGAUUCCAAGUGCAUUUACUUGAGUGAUUGCAUCUAGUGGCACUUGGAGAUCGUUUUGGCUGCGGUUUUCUUGUUACUCUUGGUGGUUGCCACCACCUAGACGGCUUGGAGCAGUAGAGGAGCAUUGGCAUGAGUUGGUGAUUGUUUGUGGACAUCUCCCAGUGAUU
rnacentral:lncRNA from 1 species